GUUUUCCAGGAAGUCAAAGCUUUCAGUCAGAAAAUGAGGCCUGUUUCUUCAGAUGUGUCCUGGAAAAAAUAAAGUCACAGUGUGUGCACCACAGCACCCCUUGCCAAAGUUAAGGACCGGCAGUCAGUGGAUUGCCGGACGAUGCCCACCAAGAAGGCCACUCGACCUGCAUUGAAAGAGAACCACAGGUCCACAUAUAAAACCAGGUCCGACCAGGAGAGAUCAUUUAUUCCAGGACGAGGAAGUGCAGGAGUGCGGGGGAGGAUUUCCAGAACAUCACAUCUUCCCUUGGCGGUGGAAUUAAAGAGGUGAAUAAUACAUGGCUGAGAGCAUCCGUCUGCCCGAAACUGCAUCUUCUCUUGGACACCAGGGGAUUUGAAGGCAAAGCUCUCACAUGGCCAGACGGGAUCCCCCACGUUAUUUCCUGCGACGGCUGCCGGACAAACCGAGUCUGGCCUGCCCAUACAGUCUCUGCAGCCAAGGUGACUCCAUCAUGGUGCAUUAAGGGAAAAUUAUUCAUCAAUCACACAACAAGCUUCACAAAAAUGAACUUCUGGCCAGCGUUUGAAAUAAGCUAAAAUGCUGGACUGCUUAUAAAGUGACCUACAAAUGAUCAUUGAUGCUGAAGAAACAAACUGUAUGGAGAUCAUCAGAGGUUACUUCGGACGCCACACU